rnacentral:snRNA from 1 species
UAUAAAUUGAAUUUUACAAGAAA